rnacentral:lncRNA from 1 species
CCAGAAAAAUGAAUGAGUUAAAACAGCAAAGCAAGUACUAUGGAAUUUUUUUCUGUUAUAUAUUUUGUUGUUUAAAAAUCAAAGAGGUUAAAAAAUUUAAAAAGUGACAACAAGCAAAGCAAACCAAAAACGGAUAUAAAUGAUAUAAAUAUUGUUGCUGGCCUAUGCCAAACAAACAUGAAAAAUUAAAAAAAAACCCACCAAAAAACCCAAACAAGGGGAAUAAUUCCUGACUUUAUUAGAGAAAUAUAAUUUCAUUUAUGCUCUGGUUUCAUAGAAUUGUCUCUGUAGAAGGUUUUUGUUGUUUUGUAAAGUAUAAUGGACUUCUGGAUUUCGGAGAAUAAGUGAUCCUCAGUGAUCAGGUGACCCCGUUGGUCAGUGAUCCCUGCUGGUCCAGUCAGCUGUGGAUCCAGGGGCUGAUUGCAGAGUGAAAUCCACUCCCAUGAGUGGAAGGUGGGAUCAGAUUUCAGAGAAGAAGGAUUACAAAGUAGACAACACCCCGCAAGUAUUGUGGAAAGAAGGAUAAUUCCAGGUGCAAUAAGAUACGUUUUAGGCGAUGAGGGAACUGAGACACCAAGAAGUUAAAGAGCUUGUGAAGGUCACACAGUGAGCAAAUGGGAAAGCUGGGAUUCAGAACUAACUGUGUUUGGAGCCUGUGGUCUUGGGCAGGAAGCUUUCUGAGGCGUGUGUGGCAGGGAUAAGAGCCAAAUGGGAUAUAUGGUGCUGGACCUGGGUUACAGGAAGGAACUGUCUCAGAACCUGGCUGACCUGAUUCUGCUGAUGACUCAGCUCGGAAGGACGCCUCAUUGGGAAAGUGAAUCACGUACGUUACGCGUGUAACAGGGAGAGAGCUCCCUGGUGCUGUAUUUAGGGCAAGGUCUUACCACCCUUCUGCCUGUGACUUCUGGGUAUGUCAGGUAGGUCCAUGUAGGCACUUCACUUCUCUGAGGAGGUGGUCACCAGGUUAACUUCUCUUGCCUUGAUUGUGCCAUCUUGAAGAUCAGGUUCUUGAAGUUCCCAGACUUUGAAUUAAAGAAGCGUUCAAUUUCAUGUUAGCCUUAGGGGCUGCAAUGCUGUGACAUGACUUCUCUUGAGAAAUAUAAACAUCACACCAGGUGUGUGACCUGAUGUUUUCACAGCUUUGUUUGUGGUUACAUGUGUGUUAUAUGCUGAUGGCUGUAAUGACGCUAGACCCAGCUCUGUUAGUCCUGCUUCUAGUCAUGAUCCAUGGAUAUUAAUGCACUUGCACUGUCUUACUGGACUCACUUUUAGGAUCAAAGUCCUAGCAUUUUCGUGUUAGUCUCUGACACUUGUAAGCUGGGGACAGACUGAGCUUUUAGGACCAAACAACAUAUCAGGCAACAUGUAGUUGUCUACUUGACAAAAUUAAACAGAAUAUAGUCUCUAAAUAUUCUUUAUUGUAUUUUUGUGUUUUGCCAGCUUUUGCAGGAUGAGGCA